rnacentral:tRNA from 1 species
UAAAAAGUUAGUUAAUAUAUAAUAUUAGGUUGUCAGCCUUAUGUUACUGAGUGUAGUUUCAGUACUUUUUAA